rnacentral:lncRNA from 1 species
GCUGGUCCUUCUUUCACACGUGAUUCUCAGCAUGUGCCGGUUGGCCGACGAUAAUAUUUCCACGGAUGAUGAUUUAUUUAUCUCUUUUUUUUUAUUCGAUGUGAUCAACCUUCUAUUUGUACUCCCGUCGUACAUGCUCUUCAAUGACUUAGUUUUUACACUAGUCUUGAUCUUUCUCUUCCGAAAAUAACUCUUGAUAUCAUUUUCCAUGUUACUAAAUAUAUUCAUUUCUUAUGAAAGUCUAUCCUGUUGCUUCACCUUCGGGAGCCACAGCUUCGUUGAGAUCGCUUAAGCAAACUCUUCAUUGAGGUUUGUUUUUGCCCCUCCCAUUUAUAUAUUUAAAUUGCACCACUCCUCACAAAUUCUUGUCUCUCCGUGGCAGUUGGGAUUCUUCAAGCGACGUCGACCUCAAAAUUAUCAGUAGGCGCUUCAGCUGCUGAUUUCUCUUCUUCAUUCUGUGGUUACUUCAAAAGAAAUCGUCCGGAAAAAGAAUCCGCGGACGAAGCUAGUCGACCGUUACACUCCAACGGUCAGUCCAACGGCCAUCCGUCGAACGUUAACGGUCGAGGAUAUUCAGCCAACGGCCGGAACGGUCAAAGUUCAAUGCAUAAACGUUUACACCCUGGCGACGAAGCUCUUUGAUAUUUAAGACCAUAAGAAACUGCUGAUUUUGUCGAGUUUUUUAUAUUGGCAUGAGCCUGUUACUUAAAGAAUCUAUCUACCGCAUUUGCAAUUUCUGGAAAAUUGAAAUUGAUUUAAAGGGAAAAAUGUUCUUUUUAUUAUAAAAUAUAAUGGGUAUUUUUGUAGAUGGAACUUCAUAUAUCACAUCCUUGAACCAAUCUGCAUAAUAAAGUUGACGCCCAACGAACAAAGAAGCUUCUACUGUAAAAUAAAAUUUAUUCGUGUUGUGAGCCAUUGUUGUUAUAGUCUUGUGUGAAUAAAUGUCCAAUGUGAUCAUGUCAUGUACUAAUCUGACUUGCUUAAUUAAGAGGCUAAUGUGUAUUGUGUGUAUGUGCCAUGAGUACUCUGCGUACUGUGUGGGUCUCUGUAUUUGUCGGACCUUAUCUGUGUUAUAAUCCAUCGGUGUGACUUUUACAACGUGCCUUCUAUUAGCUUCAUUGUACAGAUGCAAAGAUAUAUAAUAUGUAACACUUUCAAUGUACGCUGUUUUUAUCUUUUAUUGCUCUACGAUUCUUACAAUACCGCCAAAAUUGCACAAACUUUUCUAUGUGGAUUCCCUAUUGGAUUGAAUGUUUACUGUUCAUUUUUACGUAAUUUGAAAAAUAAAGAUCACUGGAAAGUACUGUUUAAAUUUUUGUGGCGGCAGAACAACUUAAUUCGACUUCUACAACGCUCGUGUAAUAUUUUUAGCGUGAGAAAAAUUUGCGCUUUCUUCAUUUCAGUGCUGUUACAUGUGUCUUAUUUGAUGCCUUUUCGAAUCUAGGUAGAAUUUGUGUAUUAAUGGUGCUUUAUUCCUAGGAUAUAUUGAGAAAAUAAUUGAUUGUUAUUUUUUUUGUAAGUAACCAAAGCGUUUUCCAUGGAAAAUCGACAUCGCUGAUUUAUUCUGUGGACAUCGUUUUGUAAAUAUUUAGCUUUAAAUAUAUUCUGCUUUGCCAAGUCUGAUUGCCAUGGCCUCUGACUGAAAUUGACGCUCCCCAAAUUAUUCUAUUAACGCUUUAAUUAAAGUAAUCUCGCUCAAAGUAACCCUCGUUUGUAUUGAGUUUUGAUCUUUUUGCUCAUAACUCUCGAUGAAACAUUUUAGUACUUUUAUCCUUCCUCAAGCACUGAUAUGUAGUAGAUAAGAGAUAUGUUCUUUGUACUAUCAUCUCUUGCUACAGCAUCAGUGAGGCGUUCAAGUCUUGCAGCAUCAGUGCGACGUGUAGACUGUGCACGAUGUUUUCAAACGAAUGCCAUUAAGUAGUUAUCGCUUCGAAACUUCAUUUCAAAUAAAGUAUUCUCCGGUGGACCUAAAACUUUCGUAAUCAUUCAAUCUGAAGAAAGUUCUUUCCGAUACAUUUUGUCUGAAUAGAUCUGACAAUCUUUUUUUAAUUGGCAUUGAUCUGGUCAUUGGCACCUACAUCAACGAGCAAUCGCUAACGAAAACAAAUUAAUAGUUCAUCAAGUGCCGAAGAACUAUUCUGACCUCUAACAUUUAAUUAUAUUGAUAAAAGUGGUGACAUUUAGCCAAGUGCAUGUAAGGUUUCAUUUAUACUCCCGACACUACUAUCUUAUCAUGGAGGGGGACAAGGGUUUACCAGCAGUCGUUGAGUGUUGGCUGUACCUUCAUUCAUAUAUUUCUUCUCAACAGAAAAGAACACAGACAAAACACGUUUUCAACAAUUCACUUGGUAUCGCGCUUCUUACCGAAGCACUUCAUAUUUUAAUUGAUCUAAUCUGCCAUUCAUGUUAGAACAACACACAGUCACGUACACAUCGAUAACCUUGAUGUUCAUCCUGAUGUGAAUUCCGUUUUAGAUGAACUUAUGUUUUUAAUUUUAUCAUGUCAUCAUUUUGUUUUUUUUUUAAGUUGUCGUACUUACUACAUAUGGAAUGAGAGCUGUCCACACUUUGAAAUUUUUUCACGGCAUCAGUAAAACUUUAAUUUUAUUAUUUUGGCAAGUGUUACUAAUGCUAUCUGAAACUUUAAAAACGCAAAAUGAUUGAUUUGUUGGUAGCAGCCCAUAUUUUUCGAACUUAUUGUCGGCCAAAAAUGAUAGAUGUAUUUCGGGACUACCCUAUAAUUAAUUUUGAAUUAACGAACAUGAAAAAUUCUCUGAUCUAGCGUUUCGGAUUUCUCUCUUGUGCUGAAAUUUAUCGUAAAGCGUCGGCUGUUCUUGAAAAAUUCCGACAUGAAUUCAUAAUAAAUUCAUACGCAAUUAAUUAUUCUCUCCGUAAAAUUUGUUAAAAUUCUUAUUGUUUGUAUGAGGUUAUGAAUCUCAAAACAUUUCGUUCCUUUUAUGAUUUACUGGAUUGAUUUGUCGAAGAGCAUUACUUAUUUUAUAAAUAUUUUCUCGCGAGUAUCAUAAAUAAAUUUUGCUGUCUGUUUUGGCUAGGACUUAUCUGUACAUAUGUGAAUAAUCUGUACAAGAAAUAACUUAUUCAAACUAAUCUUAAUAAAACGCUCACAUACAUCGUGA